GAGACUCUGUGCGCGUGCAUAUCAAUAAGCGGAGGAAAAGAAACUAACAAGGAUUCCCCUAGUAACGGCGAGUGAAGCGGGAAGAGCCCAAAUUUGAAAUCUUCAAGGUUUGACCUUGACGAAUUGUAGUUUAAAGAAGUGUUUUCGGUUAGAGGAGUAGUAAAAGUUCUUUGGAAUAGGACAUCAUAGAGGGUGAGAAUCCCGUAUUUGGUCAUUCUUUCUAGCUUUGUGAUACACUUUCAACGAGUCGGAUUGUUUGGGAAUGCAGUCCAAAAUGGGUGGUAAAUUUCAUCUAAAGCUAAAUAUUGGCGAGAGACCGAUAGCGAACAAGUACCGUGAGGGAAAGAUGAAAAGAACUUUGAAAAGAGAGUUAAACAGUACGUGAAAUUGUCAAAAGGGAAGCGUUUGACACCAGUGUUGUUUUUCCGAAAAUCAAUUACGAAUGUUUUGUUUUUGAGGAGUUAUGACUUCAUCGGCUUGCUUCUCUCUUUACGAAACUUUCUUAACUGCACUUUUCGGUUAACAAGUCAACAUCAAUUUCUUUUGUUGUAAAAGGGUAUGAGGAAGGUGGCUUUCUUUUCGGAGAAAGUGUUUAUAGCCUUGUAGCCUCUGCAAUCGGAGAGAUUGAGGUCUGCAGCGUAGAUCCUUCGGGGCUAGAUACAGUUUGUGCUAAGUUAUAGCUUUUCAUAGACAACUUGUUGACUAUGUUAAGUCUUGUAGCUUACUCGCUUAUGCUAUUUUACCUACGCUUAGGAUGUUGAUCUGUAGUGCGUGCGC
rnacentral:rRNA from 1 species